UUACAAGUUUGUCACCCUUUGUAAUAGUCAUUCUCUCUGUGUCUCACUUCUUCUUCUUCUUCUUCAGGAAAUGGGAAUGUCAUUUGCUGAAAUGGCUGAUAUGAGCCAUGAGAUUCGUGAAACAAGAGAUGCCUUGGAUGCUGCUGGAAACACGGACACUAGUACUGCCAUUGGCAAGGAGGAGACUUUGCAACCCAAACUUCUCCACUCUUCACAUGUCCCAGCCGCUUCACUGCCUCAUUUUUCUACUAUUCUUGCCAAUGGGUAGACGCCUUCUGUGCAUGUUCCACCCCAACUUCGGUCCCAUCAAAUUCCAUGAGGCUGAAGAAGUAGUACUAGUAGUAGAAGAAGAAGAAGAACGAGAAGAAGAAGACAACACAGUCACAAUGGGUGUGAGCUACUUUGUGCAGAGGAGUCAUGGCAUAUCAUGAUGAAGCUAAUUUGGGGAGGCGCAGAAUUAGCUAUGCCAGAGUGUGUGUUGAGCUCAGUUUUGUUUAUGGCCUACCAUUACAUUUCUCUUCUUUAUACUGUUUUCUCAACUUCAAGCCUUAAUGCUGUCAGUGGUCCAACCAAACGUAGACAUGAAGUAAUUGUGGCAUAUCAUGGUGCUGUUGCCACUGAUGAUCGUCGAUGUUCCAGAAUAGGGAUGAAAGUUCUUCAGGAAGGAGGUCAUGCUGUUGAUGCAUCAGCGGCUUCUGCUCUUUGCUUGGGGGCUGUAAGCCCAGCAUCAAGUGGCCUUGGUGGGGGAGCCUUUAUGCUUCUCAGGCUAUCCAGUGGGAAGGCACAAGCCUUUAAUAUGAGAGAAACUGCCCCCUUGAAAGCUUCUAAGAACAUGUAUGCAGGCAAUGCUACUCUGAAAGGUGAAGGUGCCCUUUCCAUAGCAGUUCCAGGGGAACUUGCAGUCCUUUACAAAGCUUGGAAACAACAUGGAAGGCUUCCUUGGAAGAGGCUUGUGAGGCCAGCCGAGCGUCUUGCUCAUUUGGGAUUUAAGAUAUCACCAUUUCUCCACAACCAGAUGGUCAAUAAAUCAUCUGUGAUCUUGGCAGAUAAGGGACUCUGAGACGUAUUUACUUCAAAUGGAAGUCUUUUGCAGGCAGGCGAUAUCUGCCGCAAUGAGAAACUAGCACAUACACUAAAAAAAAUUUCAAAAUUUGGUCCAGUGGCCUUGUAUAAUAGCUCAAUUGGAUUCAAGUUGGUUAGAGAUGUUCAGAAGGUUGGAGGUAUAUUGACAAUGAAGGAUUUGCAAAGUUAUAAAGUUAAAUUGAAAGAACCAAUUUCUGCUAAUAUUUUAGGGCGUAAAUUGCUUGUCAUGCCCCCUCCUUCAGGGGGUCCUCCAAUGAUACUUAUGUUAAACAUUCUAGCCCAAUAUGCAAUCCCUUCGUGUGUUUCUGGCCCCCUUGGGCUCCAUCGAGAAAUUGAAGCUUUGAAACAUGUGUUUGCUGUGAGGAUGAAUCUUGGUGAUCCUGAUUUUGUUCAUGUGUCAAAAGUUCUAUCUGAUAUGCUCUCUCCUAAAUUUGCUAAAGAAUUAAAGAAACAAAUAUUUGACAAUAUGACAUUUGAUCCCAGUCAUUAUGGUGGCAGAUGGAAUCAAAUCCACGAGCAUGGCACCAGUCAUCUGUCUAUCGUAGAUCGUGAGCGAAAUGCUGUAGCCAUGACUACUACUGUGAAUUCAUAUUUUGGUUCACUAAUUCUGUCACCUAGUACAGGAAUAGUCCUAAACAAUGAAAUGGCUGAUUUCUCGAUCCCUACAAAUGUUUCUGCAGAUAUUCCCCCACCGGCACCAGCUAAUUUUAUCUGCCCAGGAAAAAGGCCAUUAUCUGCCAUGUCACCUACUAUUGUCUUAAAGGAUGAACAACUGCAAGCUGUGGUAGGUGCUAGUGGUGGAGGCAAGAAAAGGUUGCUGCUUAGUUCUAAAUAUAUCUGAUUAGAUUGAAAUUCUAAUAUGACAAUUUUGUUUAACCAGCUGAUACCCAAUGUUGUAUCCUAUGAGAACUGGACAGCUGUGAGUGGUGAUCGCUUUGAAGUACCUGCUGAUAUCAGGGCAGCUCUUCGAAAGAAGGGGCAUGUCCUACAGAGCCUCUCAGGAGGGACUGCUUGCCAGUUUAUAGUUCAAGAUGUAGGGACUUUGAAGAAAAAUGGAGGCAUUGGAAAGCUUUUGGCUGUGAGUGAUCCAAGAAAAGGUGAGUUUCCUGCUGGUUAUUGAAAUGCUGGAGUAGUAUUAGGCUAUUCAUUCAGGUUUGCGUCUUUUGUUUACGCUGCUGGCAGAUGGUUUUCCUUCCAAUCUGGUGGAACUAGCCAAUGUUCCGCUUCAAUUUUUUUCUUUUUUUCUUUUUUCUUUUUCUUUUUUUGUUUUGAAUUGAUUGUUUUUCUCUCACGUAUUG